rnacentral:rRNA from 1 species
AACGAACGCUGGCGGCAGGCUUAACACAUGCAAGUCGAACGCCCAGCAAGGGGAGUGGCAGCCGGGUGAGUAACGCGUGGGAAUCUACCGUACCCUACGGAAUAACGCAUGGAAACGGGUGCUAAUACCGUAUACGCCCUACGGGGGAAAGCUUUAUCGGGGUAUGAUGAGCCCGCGUUGGGUUAGCUAGUUGGUGGGGUAAAGGCCUACCAAGGCGACGAUCCAUAGCUGGUCGGAGAGGAAGAUCAGCCACAUUGGGACUGAGAAACGGCCCAAACUCCUAAGGGUGGCAGCAGUUGGGAACAUUGGACAAUGGGGGCAAUCGUGAGCAGUGCAUGCCGCGUGAGUGAGUAAGGUCUUAGGAUUGUAGAGCUCUUUCACCGGUGAAGAUAAUGACGUUAUCCGGAGAAGAAGCCCCGGCUAACUUCGUGCCUGCAGCCGCCGCAAAAC